rnacentral:rRNA from 1 species
AACGAACGCUGGCGGCAGGCCUAACACAUGCAAGUCGAGCGAAGCCUUCGGGCUUAGCGGCGGACGGGUUAGUAACGCGUGGGAACGUGCCUCUCUCUACGGAAUAGUCCCGGGAAACUGGGUUUAAUACCGUAUACGCCCUUUGGGGAAAGAUUUAUCGGAGAGAGAUCGGCCCGCGUUAGAUUAGAUAGUUGGUGGGGUAACGGCCUACCAAGUCUACGAUCUAUAGCUGGUUUGAGAGGAUGAUCAGCAACACUGGGACUGAGACACGGCCCAGACUCCUACGGGAGGCAGCAGUGGGGAAUCUUAGACAAUGGGCGCAAGCCUGAUCUAGCCAUGCCGCGUGAGUGAAGAAGGCCUUAGGGUCGUAAAGCUCUUUCGCCUGUGAAGAUAAUGACGGUAGCAGGUAAAGAAACCCCGGCUAACUCCGUGCCAGCCGCCGCGGUAAU